rnacentral:lncRNA from 1 species
AUUUAAACUUCACUAAGUAAACAUUCAAAAGAUGCCAUUUUCGCAUGGCUUAUAUACAUUAACCAAAGAUAUUCUUCCGCCACUAGUCUAUUCUAUACAUGCCAUAAGAUAAUCCAAAACGUAGCAGUACCAAACAAUGGAUAGUGAUAGUGUGACUAGUUGCUGAUGAUCCCCGAGCUUGUAGCUUCCAAAUGAGAUCUAUAAAACAGAGCAAACAGAGUAAACGGAGUAAGCAUUACAAUGCUUAGUAAGUUUUAAGCAGUGUCAACAGAUAACAAUCAAAUUAUAACAUAGUUGUUCGUAUAGUUUAUUUCACUCUUCCUUCGGGCAUACCAUCCCUUUUUCCGAAUAUGCACAUCUCAUCAUAUACAAUAGGCAGAUAAACUUUCAUAUAAAAGUGAGCUCAUGUGACAUAGAUAUAUCGUAUGAUUUCACAUAACCUCUCACACUGAUCCGAUGUCACAUAAUCAUAGGAAUAGUCUCAUAGAUUGCUCUCUAUGCAUCACAUAACUACCUUAUGAUUUAGUGCAAAUCAAGCUCACAUAUAAACUUGGAGUACAUACUUGUUUAACCUUUCGCAUUGAAUAUAUUUAUAAGCAAUUCUUAUUACGAAGUCUUACCCGGACAUAAUCUCCACACGAAAUUAUCGGGUCUUACCCGGACAAAAUCCCCACACGUAGUCAUCGGGUCUUUAGAGCUCAGAUAUAGUACGAGCACGAAGCUUACGGACAUUAAUCAGUGAUAAUAUUCUCGCAUAAAGCCUGCGGGGUUUUAACCCGGAUAUAGUGCUGACACAAAUGCCCUUCGGGACGUAUCACAUUUAUACACUUUCACAUCCAUCACGUUGGCCACUCGGCCCUGUCACAUAUAUACACUUUCACAUUCAUCACAUCGGCCAUUAGGCCUUAUCACAUAUAUACACUUUCACAUUCAUCACAUCGGCCAUUAGGCCUUAUCACAUAUAUACACUUUCACAUUCAUCACAUCGGCCAUUAGGCCUUAUCACAUAUAUAUACACUUUCACAUUCAUCACAUCGGCCAUUAGGCCUUAUCACAUAUAUACACUUUCACAUUACCAACCCUUUUAUUCAUACACAAAGAUCAACUUAGCCAAAGGCCGGUAGCUCAUUUAUCAACUGAGCGAAUACUUAUUUGUAAGGGCUCAACUAAUUCAAAGCACAUACGAAACAUACCUCAAUGUUUGGAUGUUUCAAGCGUAUUAACUAAAAUUUUUACAGCAAGAUCAUUCAUUCCCAAAUCACAUACCUUCGGAAUUUAACCGGAUAUAGCUACUCGUUCAAAUGCCUUUGGGACAUAGCCCGGUUAUAGUAACUCGCACAAAUUCCUUCGGGACUUAACCCGGAUUUAGUAACUAGCACAAAUGCCUUCGGGCUUAGCCCGGAAUUAGUAUCUCGCACAAAUGCCUUCGGAUCUUAGUCCGGAUUUAGUAUCUCGCACAAAUGCCUUCGGAUCUUAGUCCGGAUAUGGUCACUUAGCACAAAGCCUUCGGGACUUAGCCCAGACAUCAUUCAAAUAACCAUGCACAUUUAACAAUAAAUCAUGGCACAUUCGUAUUUCAUUUUCGUUAGCAAAACUCAAACACAAGACACUUAUCAUUCUUGCAAUUUCGGCUCAAUAGCCACACACAAAGAGCAUGAUUUUGAUUUGCUUAAAACAUGAUCUAAUCAAAUCAUAAUUUAAGCUCUAUUACUCAAGAACUUACAAUAUCACGAUUUAGAAUUCAAGUAUGGGUUUAAUCAAUAGCUUGUGAGCAACUAAAACAAGUUUAUCAAGGUUCACAACAUAAUCUCAAAUUCAGCACAAGCUGUUUUUCCUGAGCAAUAGUCACUAAAUUAUUUAUAACUAGAGCUAAAAAACUCCAAAUCACUUUCCGUUAAUUUUUCCUGAAUAUAGACUCGUAUAUCUUCCACCCAUAAAAUUUCCAGAAUUUUAGGUUUGGCCAAUCAAUACCAGAUUUUUCUUAAAGUUUCCCCUGUUUCACUGUUUGACUAAUCUAACCACUCUUCACUACGAAUCAAAUUUCUCAUUUUACAGAAUUCAAAAUGUGUUUUAUUUGAUUCCAUUUGAAACUAGACUCAUUAAUGAGUCUAAGCAUAUAAAUUUUAUCUUAUAAACAUUUUUUUACAAUUUAUAAUGAUUUUCUAAAAACAGAACAGGGGAUUUCGGAGUCAUUCUGACACCGUCUCACACAACUUUAAAUAUCUCAUUAUCGGAAAUUCCUUUGCUUACACGGUUUCUUUUAUAAGAAACUAGACUCAUUAAGCUUUAAUUUCAUGUCUCAUUCAGCCUCUAAUUCAAGUCCAUAAAUUUAUGGUGAUUUUCUAAAGUCACGUUACUGCUGCUGUCCGAAGCAGACUAUUUCAAAUUACCCUUAAAUUCCCAAGCUCAAACACUUAAGAACUUACCAUUUGAGCUUAGAACAUAUCAUGGCCACAUCAUAUCUUAUUAAAUCAACUCAUCAUGUCCUAUUAUAAUUGAAUUUACUCAACGUUUAAACACUUAAAACUUACCUUGGAUGUGGUCGAACAAUUUCGGCAGCUAUUCGAUCACUUCUUCCCUUCCCUUAUCCAACUUUGGUCCUCUAAGCUCUUGAGCUUAAUUUAACAAAUAAAUUGAUUUAAUCAUUUGAGCAUCAAAAGAGGAACUCAAGGUACUUAGCCCAUAUAUACAUACAUUAGACAUUAAAGUCACAUACAUAUGAAAUCAUAAAUCAAUUCAACAUAUUAGCCCACACUCUCUUUUAGCCGAUUGUCUAAGCCAAGAUAAAAGCAUCAAUAUGCUUGCCUCUAGCCGAAUACAUGCAACACCAAGCAAGAAUGAUGCAUCCAUGGCCGAGUAUCAUCUUCAUAACUUUACAAAAACAUUUGCCAUGAGCUAGCUUCUAUACUUGGUGGCCACUCCAAAUAUACAAAGAUUUUCAAUGAUAGAGCAUUAACAUACCUUAAUACAUCAAAAUAAUUAAAUUCUUCCCAUGGCACACUAAAACCGAAUAUGUCUUAUUCAAAUAUAAAUUCUCAUAUUUCAUUUAUUUAACCAUUUAACCCUCCUAUCAAAUAAUUUUCACAAACUAAUCUUAAACUCAAAAUCACAUAAAAUCGUAACACAAAAGGCAUUCAUCUAACACUUGAUUUCUAAAUUCUAACAUCAAACUCAAAUUUCUUAGCUCAUCAACUCAUGGCCGAACAUCAAUUAUUCACCAAAACAAAAAUUAACUCAUGGGUUUUAGAGAAAAUUAAGUAAGGAAUUCAAUGAUACUAAAAAUUAACAAAAACAACCUGAAUUUCACCUUGAAUUUUUGCUUCCAAAUGGCCGAAACUUCAAAGCCACAAAUUUUAUUUUCUUUCUCCUUUGUUCGGCCUCCAAGAUGAACUACAUGCAUGUUCUUUUUUUCUUUUUUUUUAUGCCCCAUACCGUCCAUAUCAAUUGUCUAAGGUUAAAUAUCAUCACAAAUACUCCAACUUACAAAAACAACUUCAAUUCGGCCCUGAAGAUACAAACAUGCAUGGCUUUCCAUUUUAUGUUUUAUAAUACUUAUUUUUAUGUUUUAUAAUACUUAUAAAAAUAAUUAUCUCACAAAUAACUUUAAAAUAAACAUAUAAAGACAUCAUGCAUUAAGCCAUUACCAUCCAUAUAUUUAUUAAUGAUAUAAUUGCCAUUCAAAACCUCAAUAUUCUAAAGACAUAACACUUUAACAUUUUCAUGAUAGCAUGCUUAUUAAUCAAUUGAUGCAUUUUAAUCCUUUUUAAUGACAUAAAGAAAGAAAGAAAAAUAUUUACCAAGAGUUUCAAACUACUUGGCCGAAUAUCAAACCUCCAAACAACCAAAAAAUUUAACUCAUGGAAUGGAUAGAAUUUGAACAAAUCACCAAAAUUAUAUAUAAAUUUUCAAGAAUUUCAAAGUACUUACCUCUUUCUAAAUAUUCUCCAAGCCGAAAUCAUACAAAGAAAUUUUUUUCUUCCUUCUAAUCUCAAGUUACGGCAAUGGUAGAGUGAGGAUGAACCAACUUUGUUUUUAUCACCCAUUUCUUUUAAUAUAAGUUCAUAUUUCAUAUUAUUUAUUCAUUUAACAUUUAAUUUAUUAAUAUAAAAGGCAUAUAUUUUGUAUCCCAUGCUCCUUAUUUUAUCAUACUUCCCAUGAAACACUAACUUAACAUGUUUAUGACAUGUUCUUGCCCAUCACACUUGGUCUACCAUACUUGUCAUGGCCGGCCACUACUAAUUAGGGGGGAAAUUGACAUGCAAGUCCCCCCUUUUUAUUUCAUGCACUAAUAGAUCCUUAUGCUUUGACCUAUCACAUUUCAAAAUUUUCUCACAUAAGUCCUAUUUGAUAAAAUUCACUUACUAUUAACAAAAUUCAAACAUGAAAUUUUCACACAUGCAUAUGUACAUAUAAUGAGCAUCAACUAUGACGGUUAAUUAUCUUUAUGACUCGGUUUAGUGGUCCCGAAACCACUUUCCGACUAGGGUCACUUUAGGGGUGUCACAGAUUAUGCUUAUUCCAAAGAUUAUUAAUCCUUCUAAUCUGACUCAUUUUCGGCCAAUUAGUCUCUGUAAUGUUAUUUAUAAACUUGUGGCAAAGGUGAUUGCAAAUAGAUUUAGAGGAGUCAUUGAUAAAUGUAUUGAUGAAGCACAUAAUGCAUUUGUGCUAAGGAAACUCAUAACAGAUAAUGCACUAGUGGCCUAUGAAGUUUUACAUUCAAUGAAACAGAAGAGAGGGGGGAAGAAGGGAUUUAUGGCCAUCAAGUUAGAUAUGAGUAAGGCCUACGACAAAGUAGAAUGGAAUUUUAUUCAAGAAAUUAUGAGUAGAAUGGGUUUUUCUCAAAAAUGGAUUGAAUCUAUUAUGAAAUGUAUCUUUAGUGUUUCUUAUUCAGUAGUGGUUAAUGGUAACAAAAGAGAUAUAUUCUAUCCAACAAGGGGACUUAGACAAGGAGAUCCAUUAAGCCCUUUUUUAUUUCUGAUAUGUGGAGAGGGUCUAUCAGGUCUAAUGCGAAUGGCUAUUAGCGAAGGAGUUAUAAAAGGUGUUAAAGCUAGUAGAAGUGGCCCCAGGGUGUCUCAUUUACUAUUUGCUGAUGACUGCAUAAUGUUUUAAGAAGCAACAAGAAGGGGAGUAAGAGCAAUCAAGCAGAUUUUGCGUGAAUAUAAAAAUAGUUCAGGUCAGUUCGUAAACUUUGAAAAAUCAGCAGUAUUUUUUAGCAACAACAUAUCUGUGGAAGUUAGGCAAAUAGUGAUCACCCAAUUGGGAAUCCACAGCUCCAAUGAAUUAGAAAGGUAUUUAGGACUGCCAAGUUUAGUUGGGAAAAGGAAAAAAGAAUCUUUUCAAGCAUUUAAGGACAAAAUGAAACAGCGGAUUGAUAAUUGGUGUAUGAGAUUACUGUCUCAAGGUGGAAAGGAAAUAUUUAUUAAAUCAGUUUUACAAGUGAUACCGACUUACUCAAUGGCUUAUUUUUUUAUUACUGAAGACAUUAUGUGAUGAAAUGGAAGGCAUUGUAGCCAAGUUUUGGUGGCAAAAGGGACGUGGAAAGAAAGGAAUUCAUUGGUGUUUAUGGAGAAAUAUGUGUUCUUUAAAAGAAGUUGGAGGUAUGGGUUUCCGAAUUUUUUGCCAAUUUAAUGUUGCGUUAUUAGCCAAGCAGGGCUGGAGCCUUAUUAAUAAUCCGAGUUCCUUAUUAGCCAGAGUUUUUAAAGCCAAAUAUUAUCCAUAAUCAAAUUUUUUAAACGCAUAGUUGGGUUAGUUACCUUCAUAUACCUAGAAGAGCAUUUAGGCAGCACGAGGGCUCAUUCAGGAUGGGUUGUGUUGGAAAGUCAGUCGAGGGACCGAGAUUGAUGUCUGGACUGAUUGCUGCAUUCCUGGAUGUGAAGCCAUUGGUAGACAAGGUAGAGAGACAAACAGUGAUGUCCUAUUAGUUUCGGAUUUAAUCAAUAAUACUAGUAGGACUUGGAAGCGAGACCUGAUCAAUAAUACCUUUCAAUCAGGCAUAGCGCAAAAAAUUUUGAAGAUUCCUUUGGCAGAGUCAGAACAUGUUGACUUUCAGGUGUGGAAAGAGGAACCUUCAAGGGAGUUCUCAGUAAGAAGCGCCUAUAAACUAUUACAUCAUUCUAGCUCGAAUCCUAAUAUUUAUCCAUUACAACCCAAAAUAAGAAACUUCUAUAGAAAAUUGUGGGAUUUACAGCUACCGGGUAAAAUAAAGAUACUAGUUUAGCGAAUUUCCUGGAACUACAUCCCUUCCCUAAUAAAUCUAAGAUCCAAGAAAGUAAUAGAGAAUGCUCUGUGCCCUCGGUGCAGACUCAAAGAGGAAGACAGUAACCAUAUCUUUAGAUUUUGUCCUGCAAUCAGUGAAAUAUGGAAUCUCAUUAAUCUCUCUUAGACCAUUGAUCAUGAUAAUCAAAGUUUCUAGAAGUGGCUUAUCUGGGUUUUUGAAAGGAGUACAAUGGAGCAAUGUCGGUCCUUUUGUUGUGCGCUAUGGUGCGUUUGGAGUUCCCGAAAUCAGCUUGUACAUGAAAAGAAAAUCAUACCAGUUAGGGAUUUAGCAAGGAAAGUCAGCAGUUACAUAGCAGAACUGGAAGGGAUCCGAAUGAAAACAUUUACCUCUUCUUCCAAAAGGGACAACAGUUAUACUAGGGCGACGGAGGGUACCACAGUUCAGUUUGAUGCCGUUUUUGACAAAAGAAAUGAUAGAUCUGCCUCAGGUAUAGUCGUUCGAGACUAGACAGGAGCUUUAAAAGCCUCAAAGUCAGUUAUACAUGAGGAUACCCCGACCCCGUUCGCAGCAGAAGCCCUCGCAGGAUUAGAUGCCAUUAAGUUAGUAAUAGAAAUGAGGUUAACAACAGUAACAAUAGAGAGGGACUCGAGAAUAGUCAUUCAAAAAUGUCAAUCGACAGAAAUUGAUAAGUCGGUCCUUGGGGUGAUUAUUUAUGACAUACAGACCAGAAAAUCCAGGGGUUCAAGACGUUACUUUCAAGUUUAUCCAUAGAACGAAUAACAUUCAAGCCCAUAAUCUAGCAAAAAAAGGGUUGGAGAGAAGGGAGGACUCAUACCUGGGAGGGAAGACGACAAUUCAUAGAGUUGCAGACUCAGAGGGAAGAUGGAGAGAAUCGCCAGAUUGAAGAUGAAUGGACAAGGAGUAGGGUGCAGUUAAGGGUAGCAAGGAAUUGAUAUCUUAGGGAACGACUAUCUGCAAAGGCAUGGCUGUUGGGACGUGAAAAGACGAGUAAAGAAUUAAAUGGCCAGGCUGUUAGAUGUGACUGGGAGAUUUUCUGUUGAUUUCCUUUUGUUUUUCUAUUUUUUUAUUCUUUAUUGUCUUUUAUCAUCAUUUCUGAGAAACGGGCUAGCUAUUAAGGAAGCCCAACUUAGUUUGUUUUGUUUGUUUGGCAGUCGGACUUAAGCCCAAAUGUUAAUUUGGGUAUUGGUUUUAUUCUAUUUGUAAAGAGCCC